GCCGAAGCAACUAGCCCUGAANAUGGAUGGCGCUAAAGCUCCGUGCCUAUACCCGGCCGCCGGAAGGCAUAGGCGUGAGCCGCUCUUCUGGGGCGGCGAGCGCGCGAAGCCCCGGCGAGUAGGAGGGCGCGGCGGUGUGCGCGGAAGGGUCUGGGCGCGAGCCUGCCUGGAGCCGCCGCCGGUGCAGAUCUUGGUGGUAGUAGCAAAUACUCAAGCGAGGGCCUUGAGGGCUGAUGUGGAGAAGGGUUUCGUGUGAACAGCCGUUGCACACGAGUCAGUCGAUCCUAAGCCCUAGGAGAAAUCCGAUGUCGAUGCGGGGGGUUUCAUUUACUGUGCUCCCCCUCGAUGGGCGAAAGGGAAUCCGGUUCCUAUUCCGGAACCCGGCAGCGGAACCGAAUCUACGGGCCCUCGAAAGAGAAGCUCGUCGGGGUAACCCAAAGGGACCCGGAGACGCCGUCGGGAGACCCGGGCAGAGUUUUCUGUUCUGCAUAAGCGUUCGAGUUCCCUGGAAUCCUCUAGCAGGGAGAUAGGGUUUGGAACGCGAAGAGCACCGCAGUUGCGGCGGUGUCCGGGUCGUCCCCUCGGACCUUGAAAAUCCGGGAGAGGGUCACGCGGAGGUGUCGCGCCGGCUCGUACCCAUAUCC
rnacentral:rRNA from 1 species